rnacentral:rRNA from 1 species
AGAUUGAACGCUGGCGGAAUGCUUUACACAUGCAAGUCGAGCGGCAGCGCGGGGGCAACCCUGGCGGCGAGCGGCGAACGGGUGAGUAAUACAUCGGAACGUGUCCUUGAGUGGGGGAUAGCUCGGCGAAAGCCGGAUUAAUACCGCAUAAGCUCUGAGGAGGAAAGCGGGGGAUUCGCAAGGACCUCGCGCUGUUGGAGCGGCCGAUGUCGGAUUAGCUAGUUGGUGGGUAAAGGCCCACCAAGGCGACGAUCCGUAGCUGGUCUGAGAGGAUGAUCAGCCACACUGGAACUGAGACACGGUCCAGACUCCUACGGAGGCAGCAGUGGGGAAUUUUGGACAAUGGGGGCAACCCUGAUCCAGCCAUUCCGCGUGAGUGAAGAAGGCCUGGUGUAAGACUCUUC